UACAGAGGUGGCAAGCGUUGUUCGGAAUUACUGGGCGUAAAGGGCGAGUAGGUGGCCAUCUAAGUCAGACGUGAAAUCCCCCGGCUCAACCCGGGAACUGCGUCCGAUACUGGAAGGCUUGAAUCCGGGAGAGGGAUGCAGAAUUCCAGGUGUAGCGGUGAAAUGCGUAGAUAUCGGAAGGAACGCCGGUGGCGAAAGCGAUCGACUGGACCUCUUCUGACGCUGAGGCGCGAAAGCCAGGGGAGCAAACGGG
rnacentral:rRNA from 1 species